GAUGAACGCUGGCGGCGUGCCUAACACAUGCAAGUCGAACGAAGCACCUUGAUUUCCUCGGAUUGAUAGGUGACUGAGUGGCGGACGGGUGAGUAACGCGUGGGUAACCUGCCUCAUACAGGGGGAUAACAGUUAGAAAUGACUGCUAAUACCGCAUAAGCGCACAGUAUCGCAUGGUACAGUGUGAAAAACUCCGGUGGUAUGAGAUGGACCCGCGUCUGAUUAGCUAGUUGGUGAGGUAACGGCUCACCAAGGCAACGAUCAGUAGCCGGCCUGAGAGGGUGAACGGCCACAUUGGGACUGAGAUACGGCCCAGACUCCUACGGGAGGCAGCAGUGGGGAAUAUUGGGCAAUGGGGGAAACCCUGACCCAGCAACGCCGCGUGAAGGAAGAAGGCCUCGGGUUGUAAAC
rnacentral:rRNA from 1 species